UAGUGUAGCGGUGAAAUGCGUAGAUAUUAGGAAGAACACCAGUGGCGAAGGCGCUCUACUGGGCCAUAACUGACACUGAUGGACGAAAGCUAGGGGAGCGAAAGGGAUUAGAUACCCCUGUAGUCCUAGCUGUAAACGAUGGACACUAGGUGUUGGCCGUAUCGACCCGGUCAGUAUCGAAGCAAACGCGUUAAGUGUCCCGCCUGGGGAGUACGCACGCAAGUGUGAAACUCAAAGGAAUUGACGGGGGCCCGCACAAGCGGUGGAGUAUGUGGUUUAAUUCGAUGCAACGCGAAGAACCUUACCAGGGAUUGACAUCCUACGAAUCUUCUUGAAAGGGAAGAGUGCCUUCGGGAACGUAGAGACAGGUGGUGCAUGGCUGUCGUCAGCUCGUGUCGUGAGAUGUUGGGUUAAGUCCCGCAACGAGCGCAACCCUCGUCCUUAGUUGCCAUCAUUAAGUUGGGCACUUUAAGGAGACUGCCGGUGACAAACCGGAGGAAGGUGGGGAUGACGUCAAGUCAUCAUGCCCCUUACAUCCUGGGCUACACACGUACUACAAUGCAACGGACAAAGGGCAGCCAACUAGCGAUAGUGCGCAAAUCCCAUAAACCGUUGCUCAGUUCAGAUUGCAGGCUGCAACUCGCCUGCAUGAAGGCGGAAUCGCUAGUAAUCGCAGGUCAGCAUACUGCGGUGAAUACGUUCCCGGGCCUUGUACACACCGCCCGUCACACCAUGGAAGUUGGCCACGCCCGAAGUCGUUACCCCAACCGUUUACGGAGGGGGACGCCGAAGGCAGGGCUGAUGACUGGGGUGAAGUCGUAACAAGGUAACC
rnacentral:rRNA from 1 species